GGGGCAGCCCUGGGCCCUGCCGCUGCCUCCGGCCCCCGGGGUCUGGGACACGGCGCUCUCUGCAUGUGCAUUUGGCAGGAGGUGGAGGCCAGAGGGCAGACCCUGGGAGGGGAUGUGGGGAGGCUCAGAGGUGGCCUCAGAGGUGCUCAGAGACGGCCGGGCCCUCGGCCACAUCCUCUAGGGAGAGCGGAGUCAGGCUGAGGAGGAACCCCCGCUGAGCAACUCGGAGCCUGGGCCUCGUCACACGCUCUGCGUCUCUCUGUCCCACUGCCUCUGAGGACUGGGGCUGUGCUGGCGCCCAUGGGACCAGGUCCAGGCAGGUGAGUCCCCCAGACCUCCUGCUUCCACCCAACCAGCCUUCUGUCCUGGGGGAGGGGGGCACAGCGGGUGGGGCUGAUGGUGACCAGGCUGGGAGGGCCCUGGGGUGACCCCUGGGGAGACAGGCCGAGGGAGAAGGGCACCCUGACACUCCAGGUCUGAUUCCUUUCCAGGGGUUCUCCCCAAACCCCGAUCCGGGCAGACCCGGGACCCACUGACCCCAAGGGGAGCCCUGUGACCCUCUGGUGUCAGGGGUCCCCGCAGGCUGAGGUCUACCGUCUGUAUAAAGUGGGGGACUCUGAACACUGGGAGGAUGAAGCCCCACAGGACCUCAGGAACACCGCCCGGUUCCACUUUGAAUCCUUGAGCUCCUGCCAUGCAGGGCGGUACCAGUAUGCUUAUCAGAGCAGGAACAGCUGGUCCAGGUGGAGUGAACCCCUGGCCCUUGUGGUGACAGGUAAGAGGGAGGACCCAGGUCCCUCCCACCCGGGGCUCCUCCUCACAGGCAGGGCGAGCAGACUGUGGGCUCAGGGGCCUGUCCCCUCACAGCACACAGCUGGGGAGUGGGGUGAAGGCCCCCCUUUAACACCAUCCCUCCUGCCCCCUCAGGACUGUACACAGCACCCUCCCUCUCAGCCCACCGAGCCCCGUGGGGGCGUCAGGAGGGAACGUGUCCCUCUCCUGUAGCUCACAUUUCAUGUCCAGCACACUACACCUGCUGAAGGAGGGAGGCGCUAAACCGCCCCAAUGCAGCGCGUGGGGGAAACUCGGGAACUCGGGAGGGAGGCAGGCCCUCUUCCCUGUGGGAUCCGUGAAUGCAUCCCACGGGGACACCUACAGAUGCUAGAUUCUCCCAGCUCCCAUCCCUACCUGUGGCCUCAGCCCAGUGACCCUCUGUAUCUCCAGGUCACAGGUGAGGGCCACCAGCACCACCUAUUUCCUGGACCCUUGAUCUAAGCUCAGCGCCCAUUGGAGCCCUGGGCUAAGUGGGCAUCAGGGAAGGGACUGACACGGGACUCCCGGGGGGAACCAUGGGCAGGAGGCUUGGGGGGGCGGGGACCAGAGAGAACUCUCCCUGCAGCCCCGGGGAGCAAUGUGGGGUGCAUGUCCCUCGGGGCCACCAUACCUUCCUCCCCAGGUAUGUACAGGGAGCCCUCCCUCUCGGCCCAGCCGGGCUCCCUCGUGCUCCUCGGAGACAGACUGACCCUCCAGUGUCGCUCAGAUGCCAGCUUUGGCAGAUUCGCUCUGACCAAGGACGAGGGAAGCACACCUCCCCUCCACCUAAAUGGCCAGCACAGCCCCGACUUCCCCCUGGAUCGUGUGAGCCACACCCGAGGGGGCCGGUACAGAUGCUACGCUGCACACAACCUCUCCGAUGAGUGGUCGGCCCCCAGUGCCCCCCUGGACGUCCUGAUCGUGGGUGAGGAGCCCCUGUCCUGCCCAUGGCCGGACUCUCUGUCCAGGAGGCAUACAGUGGUGAUGGGGUCCCGAGAGAGGGGCCUGGAGCAGAGGCUGAGAAGGGGCAGUGGUCUAAGGGAAAGGGGGUGGGAAUGUGGAGAUAAGAGACCCACACAGAGGGCCUGAGAAGGGGUCCCAGACAGGGUCCCUAGAGAGAAGACAGUGCCCUCAGCUCAGGGUCAAGGUGUGUGGCAGGGGCAGCUCUCUAUACAUCCUCCCUCCUCUCCUCCAGGAAUGUACCGGACACCCUCCCUCUCAGCCCAUCCAGGGACCUCAGUGUCCUGGGGAGAGAACGUGACCCUGCAGUGUCGCUCUGAGAUCACAGGUGUUGGACACCUUCCACUUGUUCAAGGAGGGGUCGCUGGCUCCUGCCCAGAGCCUGAGUCUGCAGGACAUAGCUGUACCCCUUCAGGCCAACUUCACCUUGAGUCCUAUGACCUCAGCCCACCAUGGGACCUACAGGUGCUAUGGCUCACACAGCACCUCCCCCUAUGUCCUGUCAAACCCCAGUGACCCCCUGCAGCUCUUGAUCUCAGGUAAGGAACCCCAGCCCAGGUCCUCUGGGUCCUGGUCAGUUCAGGGUGCUGAUGACCCCAGAGCAGCUCUUGGCUUGGGGGGGAGUAAGGAGGUCAGAGAAGGAGGGGAAGCCACUCUCAGAGGGAUGGCAACUCCCUUCCCCCCACCAGCUGCAUCCUCAUUGCUGGGGUCCAACAUUGCUCCUGGAGAGUAGAGGGAGGCUAGAGGACUCAGGGCUGACCCAAAGGGGGAAAUGCUAGAGACCCACGUCUCCAUCCCCUGGUCUGCAGGCCUUGCAGCCCCUCACAUGGGGAGAACAACACUAGGACACGGAGUGACCAGAGGCCUCGAUCGCCUAGGGACCAAGAUCACAGACCCCAGCACGGCUGGUCUCUCAGGAGGGCUGGGAUUUGGGCAGGAGAUGCAGGGGGACCACAGGACUCCAGAGGCACCAAGGGUCGGAGGGUGAUGGAAAGGGGGUCACGGUGAGGGAGUGUAGGCGCUCAGCCUGGGAGAAGCAGCACCCCUCACCUGCCCUGAGGAUGGGCUCUGAAGAUGGGCUCACAGAGUCAGGCUUGCAGAGGGGAAAGGGAGGGUCGGCUGCAGGUGGGGAGUGUCAUGGGAAGCAGGGGUGUCAUACCCUCCUGACCCACGGGAGCUCAUGGUCUCAGGGGACGGGUCCCGAGUCUGCCCUGUUGGAGCUCAGUCAGCACAGGGUCCUGACCCCAGAAACGUCUGAGACACUCAUACAAGAGGGGACACAGGGCAGACUCCACAGAGGGGGACACAGAACCCAGGGAAGGGCUGCGUGUCCCAACUCCACACUCACACCCCCACUUCAUGAUUCUCAGGACCAGCAGACACCAUCCGCCCAUCACAAAACCACUCAGAUCCCACGAGUGGUGAGGAGGAGGAAUCCUCAGUUAUGGGCCUGGGUUCUGGGGUGCAGGUCCUAUAAAGGGGAGGUGCUGCCGAGGAUUCUGGGGGACUGGGAUCUGCCCUCACCUCUGCGACCUCUCUGUCCACAACCCCUACCCUCUCCCCCUGAAGACUACACAGUGGGGAACCUCGUCCGGAUGGCCACGGCUGCCCUGAUCCUGCUGAGCCUCGGAAUUCUGCUCUUCCAGGCUCAACAUGGCCAUGGAGAACCCAAGACGGGACCAGGAGCUGAGCACAGAGGCCACAGGGCACCGUCCAGAGUGGCAGAGCCUAGGCAAUGACCCGAUGGGCCCAGCAGGUUCUGGAAGAGAAUCUGCCAUGUGUGAGAACUGCCUGCUGAGACCAUGGAGGGAGAGAUGGGGUGUGGGUGUCGGGGGAGGACUGGGGAUCCCGUGCAGGGCUCUGCCUCUGUUACACCGAGGUGCUCUCCUCCUCCACAGAUGCCUCUCCCUGACGGCCUGUCCUCUCUCACCUGGGACAUGAGGCACAGCCCACACAGCAGGUGUGUCCCCACACCUGACACACCUGCAUGCUCUGGCCCUCGUUCAUGGGGGAUAUUUGUCUUUUAAUUUAAUUCCACAUUCUCUCAUGUGUACUACUGACCUCCACCUCUGCAGCCAGAAGCAAAAGAUGGUUUAAAGAACUGAACAAGAGGGGGGAAAAAAGAGUGAGAGAGAGAGAAAAUAAACAAAUAAAUAAAUAAAAAUAAAGAAAGAACUGAACAAGUGAGGAAGAAUCAGGUAUGCUUUGGAACGGAUGAAUCCAAAACGAUUCCCUUAAGCCCUUUCUGGAAUCUCCAGCCCUCCCCUCCUCAUCACAUGUCACCCAGUGCAGUUCUUCCAGAAGCACCUGCACUUUGCAGGGACACCCUGGUGUUUGAGGUGACAGCCAGGUGCUGUGCUGAUAAACGGACCCUAAGAAUAUGUCAUUUGUCAAAAGCCCAUCCUCGUGGCCUUUGUCUGUCUUUAGACUGUCUCUUCCUGGCCACCGUCAGGGUGCCCGUGCAAAUGCACUGAAGGCAGAGGUGGGAAGCAGGGAAGAGAGUUGUGUGAUGGGAGUUCCCGUCGGGGCUCAGGGGAAGUGAAUCUCAUGAGUAUCCAUGAGGACACAGGAUCCAUCCCUGGCCUUGCCCAGUGGGUGAAGGUUCUGGCGUGCCUGUGACCUGUGGUGGAGGCAGGCAGCUGAAGCUCCAAUUUGACCCCUGGUCCUGGUACCAUGGGUGCGGCCAUAAAAGCAAAUAUUAUAUGUAUAUAUAUAAAUUAAAAAUUUCUUCAAGUCCACAAAAAAGUAAAUGCUGGGGAGGCUGUGGAGAAAAGGGAACCCCCCUACGGUGCUGGUGGGAAGGUAACUUGGUGCAGCCACCAUGGAGAACAGUAUGGGGGUUCCUCAGAAAACUAAA
rnacentral:lncRNA from 1 species